UACGAAGGGGGCUAGCGUUGCUCGGAAUUACUGGGCGUAAAGCGCACGUAGGCGGAUUGUUAAGUCGGGGGUGAAAUCCUGGAGCUCAACUCCAGAACUGCCUUCGAUACUGGCGAUCUCGAGUUCGGGAGAGGUGAGUGGAACUGCGAGUGUAGAGGUGAAAUUCGUAGAUAUUCGCAAGAACACCAGUGGCGAAGGCGGCUCACUGGCCCGAUACUGACGCUGAGGUGCGAAAGCGUGGGAAGCAACAGG
rnacentral:rRNA from 1 species